GAAUGAUCAGGUCUUCAUUUAUGUCAGGAUGAGAUUCUCCUCCUAUUUCCGACACAGUCAAUUUCAGCUCAUGCUAGGAUGAAGUUUUUCUCCUGUUCCUAACAAGAUUGUGGGGGCACGUAAGGGCCGUUGCAAGGGCCUCUCCCCCCAUCCGGUCUCUAAAUAACCGGGCCUUCGACCUUGCUCAUGUUAGGACGAGGUUCUCCUCCUGUUCCUAACAUGGCUGUGGGGGCGCAUAAGGGCCGUUGCAAGAGCCUCUCCCU
rnacentral:lncRNA from 1 species